CCUCCUUCUGGUGUUUUGUAGGUGAGCCCAGCAUAAGGAUCUUCUUGGAGGCUGGUGAAUGUGAACUUUUCUCUCUUCAGGGAUGCUCAUUUAUUCUGGAUCAGAACCAGAAACCAGAAAGUGUAAUUGUCUAAGUGACGAAGAGGAUGCACUUAUUUCAUUGAAGACAUCACUUGUCCUAAAAACACAGAAAUAAGAAUCUUGAAAGGACUGCAGGAAGCUACCCUGCCAUGGCCCUGCACUGUCCUUAACAGACAAAUGCUCCUCCCCAGAAGAUUGUUGUACGUUGUAUGUAAAGAUAUCAGUACUUCUGUUCUCCAGUCAUAGAUUGAAAGGCACACUCCGAGAUGCAUACUUCAUUCCCAGUCAUUGGAUGAAAAUACUUCUGGAGCAACACUUUUUCUUUUAACAGGCAAGAUAUGUUGCUGUACAGCUCCCUCAAUCUCCCCACUGUAUUUCGUCAAGCCUCAGGGAUAUCACUUCGAUGGGAAUCGGUCCUCACGCACAUCCCUGGAGCUGUAGCCAUUUCUGUGCUGAGUGUGAUCUGCUUGGCCUUAAUGGCUCCAUCCUGGAUAUUUUCUGAGUCCUGAGACAUGCUCACAAGGGACCAUCUUCUCAAGUGGUUUUGUGGCCAAUGGAGUGUAGGAAGUUGAUCAUCCUGGUGUCAGUCACCCACUGCAUGGCGUUGUAGAGCGGAGGGCCAUGGAGCCCAGCUGGGUGAAGCAGAGCAGGCACGGACCCAUCAGACAUGGAAGUCUAGCGCUUUUGGGCCUCACACGUUAGGCUGGAGAUUUUAAGGGUGUCUGUGUAGGGGACAAGCUGGCCCAGUCAUGCAGAAUAAGAUGAGAUCUUCAGAUAUUCCGUCAGGAUGAAGGCACCAAAACUACCAAAACUUGUGCUGAAACUCAGAUUUUUUCUCCACAGACGGCUUCAGAAGAAUAUGUAAAACUGAUCUGACCCAGGAGAAUACUCCAGGGCUUUGUGCUCGAACUUGCUCUGAGGAGCAAGCUGAGCUGAGGCUCUCCUCCACGCCUAGGAGCUGGCUCUCCCUAGUCCUGGGUCCUGGAGCAGUCAUUAGGCUUGCUCGUGUGAAGACAUGGAAAAUUUGGGCUCUCAAAAGGCUGGAUAAGUUCAACUUAGCGCCUUUGUCCUUUGUGUUCUCUUAACAGCUCUAUUUUUCCAAGGUUUAAUGCUUAUCUCUUGCAGUAGGAAAUCCCUUUAUAACACAUCAACUUGCCGUAUGUCUGACGAAGCGAGUUUAGAAAAUUGUAAAGCAAAGAAUGCUGCUUUUAAAAAAGUGCUAUCAUAAUUAUGUGUACUUGUGGGACAAAAUUAAAGACAAACGAUUGAGGGUUGAGGCCACAGUAACAUGGUAAUUGAAACGUUAUCCACAGCGUCCUUUAAACAAUAAGCCAGAUGCUAGAGACCUUAUUCCAAACUCUGAUUAUUAUUUCCUUUGAAGUUUUAUAGAAAUAAUGUUUGGUAUAAAAAUGAGCUUGUAAUUUAGGAUUUUUCCCACUCUCUGUAUGCAAUUUUCUUUUUUAAAAUAUAAAGAGAAAAGGAAACAAAGAUUUCAUGAUAAGAACAAACUGAAAUACAAGAACUUAUGUGGGAGACUGAAAUAGCAGCAGGAUUAAAAGCAGAAAAUACACACAUCCCAUAGGUUCCUUUCUUGCCUUGGAGGCCUCCCAUUCAAGUACUGACCAGGACAAAUGUAGCUUGGUUUAUGAUAGCUGACAAGCUCAAAGCCUCUCUGACUGAGACAACAUUAAGUAAUUUUCAAAACACACUUUGAAGCUCUAGGCAAUAAUAAAACAGUAUUAGGAAUGGAGUUCAGCUCUUCUACAUUUGCUCAGCAUUUCAUCUAUACUGCCAAUGUAGAGGUAAACUUUAAUCUGUCUAUAUGUUGAAGGCAUGGACUUGUGUGUAUAUAUAUACAUGUUGAAGCAUUUUAUUA